GACGAACGCUGGCGGCGUGCCUAAUACAUGCAAGUAGGCCGCAUUUGUGAACGGGUGAGUAAUGCGUAGGUAACUACCUACUAGAGGGGGAUAACUAUUGGAAACGAUAGCUAAUACCGCAUACUAGUAGAUGGACAUGCGUUGUAUUAGCUAGUAGGUAGGGUAAAGGUCUACCUAGGCAAUGGUACAUAGCCGACAUGAGAGGGUGGUCGGCCACACUGGGACUGAGACACGGCCCAGACUCCUACGGGAGGCAGCAGUAAGGAAGCUUCGGCAAUGGGGGGAACCCUGACCGAGCAACGCCGCGUGCGUGAAGAAGGUUUUCGGAUCGUAAAGCUCUGUUGUUAAGGAAGCGGUACUUAACCAGAAAGGGACGGCUAACUACGUGCCAGCAGCCGCGGUAAUUC
rnacentral:rRNA from 1 species